rnacentral:lncRNA from 8 species
GUAAAACCUGUGGAGUAGCUGCUCACUAACUUGUAAAACCUGUGGAGUAGCUGCUCACUUACUUGUAAAACCUGUGGAGUAGCUGCUCACUUACUUGUAAAACCUGUGGAGUAGCUGCUCACUUACUUGUAAAACCUGUGGAGUAGCUGCUCACUAACUUGUAAAUAAUUGUCUUCACAAGCGUCCAUGAGAAAGCAUACAGUCAGUCAUAGAAAGGGUGUUUCUCUGUUCAGGCCAUUUUCUACUGAACAUAAGAGAAAGUGAUGGAAACAGGGUUGGGUUGUACUGUUGUAUUAGCUGUCUACUCUGGCAGUGCUCCCAAUCCUGACUCAUGGUAUUGCUAAUUGGAACCAAAUCACCUGUAAGUCCAGUUCUGUUUCUCCAACUGGUACCGGCCCAAGAAAAGGUUUACUAUGGCUUCACCUCUUCCAUCCAAAACAUUGACCUGCAGUUAUUAAAUGUCUUCCCUGGCUUUGUGUGUCUCUUCCCCUGUCAUUAGUUGAAUCCCUGGACGAUGUCGGGCUCCAUGGAGCUGUCUCACCCCCUCAUGUGGAAACCAUCGAGGCCCAGGUCAGAGACACGGGACUGGGCUUGGACAGGAACACUGCUUCCUCGGGAACACGAUGUAACUCUAGAUGAUCAGACCCAUGAGUCCAAUGUUUUUGCCACUGCCAGAGGGACAACGGGCCUUAUGUAAUAAGACAAACAUCUGCUCACGGACUCAAGGUGAUCAGUCACCCAAUGACAGCCACGAUUGUGCAGGUGAGGGAUGCCAUCCCAGUCCCAGACACUAACUGACCUCCUCCGGAGAGGCCCAACUCUUCCAUAUGUCACUCAGUGGUCAGAUAAACAUGUUACAGAAAGAAGGGGGGGAUGAGAACGGAGUGGACAUGGGAGAGAGCGAGAGAGAGAGAGAGGGAGAGAGAUAGAGAGGAAUGAAAACUGGGUCGACUACGUGUGACCCCUCCCCUCCUCCAUCUCCUCCCCCUUGACUUUCCUCUGCCCUCUCCGUCCUUCCCUCCUCCUAUUUCCUCCUCCCAGCCAUGCAGCACAUGUUGCCAACACAUGGACGGCUUCCUCAGUUGUUAGAAAUGGUUAAGUCACAUCGGCAAGCGUCCUCACAGUAGUUCUGACAUGACAGAGCAUUUUGUCCCCACACACUAUCUCACUCAGGGGCGGCAGGUAGCCUAGUAGUUAGAGCGUUGGACUAGUAACCGAAAGGUUGCAAGAUUGAAUCCCCAAGCUGACAAGGUAAAAAUCUGUCGUUCUGCCCCUGAACAAGGCAGUUAACCCACUGUUCCUAGGCUGUCAUUGAAAAUAAGAAUUUGUUCUUAACUGGCUUGCCUAGUUAAAUAAAGGUAGAAAAAAAAUACUCUACAACUCUCUUUCUCGCUUUACAACUCUCUCUUUUUCUUUGACUCACUGCACUCCAGUCAAUACCUUCGCUUUCACUUUCUCCUCCCCUCUUUUUGAUCAUCCUUCUUGAUCAUCCUUCUCUACUAUCUCCAAA